rnacentral:rRNA from 1 species
UACAGAGGGUGCAAGCGUUGUUCGGAAUUAUUGGGCGUAAAGGGAGUGUAGGCGGCACGGAAAGUCUUCUGUGAAAUCUGCGGGCUUAGCCUGCAAAGUGCAGAGGAAACUUCCGAGCUUGAGUGUCGGAGAGGGCAGUGGAAUUCCCGGUGUAGAGGUGAAAUUCGUAGAGAUCGGGAGGAACACCAGUGGCGAAGGCGACUGCCUGGCUGACAACUGACGCUGAGACUCGAAAGCAUGGGGAGCAAACAGG